UAAAUUGAGAGUUUGAUCCUGGCUCAGGAUGAACGCUGGCGGCGUGCUUAACACAUGCAAGUCGAGCGAUGAAGUUUCCUUCGGGAAACGGAUUAGCGGCGGACGGGUGAGUAACACGUGGGUAACCUGCCUCAUAGGGUGGAAUAGCCUU
rnacentral:rRNA from 1 species